rnacentral:misc_RNA from 1 species
GACAAAUUGCAGAAAAUGAUCAGAUGGUAAAGGAGUUGGAACAAAAAAUCAUCUCUGCUGUGGAACUGUUGCAAAAUUACAAAAAUGAACGAGAUGAAUUGCUGAUGGAGCGUGAUAAUGCACUCAAAGAAGCAGAGGAGCUGAGGAAGAGCCGAACUGAGGCCUCAAGUUCGAGCAUGCCACAGUUCUUCUCUGAUUUCUGUUUCUCUGAGAUUGAAGAAGCAACUCAGAACUUUAAUCAAGAUCUCAAAAUUGGGGAAGGGGGAUAUGGUAGUAUUUAUAAAGGCUUCUUGCGUCACACCCAAGUGGCUAUAAAGGUGCUGCACUCUAAUAGUUUGCAAGG